AUUUCUGUGCCCCUUUUAGGUUAAAGCGAUGGAGACAUCGCUGCCGCUUCGCUCUGCCGAAUGCUGGUAAACCAGAUUGUGCAGGUGGAGGUGACGUUUGGGAAGACGUGCUGCUAUAAUGGAAGUACUUGCACUGAUGAACUGGGGAGCUGGAGCUCAUGCAAUGAACCCUGAUCCUCAUGGAUACACCAGCUUGAAGUGUUCCCUUAGAAUCAUACCAACGACUUGAUUCAGAGGCCUUUUAAUACUGUUUCUGCUGCUGAGAAGAAUUCACCUUAAACCACUCUCACUGUUGCACACCUAGGCUUUGGGCUCCCAGUACACUGUGCAGAAAUUAUAAUUGCAAAAUGUGUCCAGGUGAGUUCUUUUACAGCUCUAACCAAUAGAAAAUAUAAUUUCAUGUAACUUCCUAAAACAAAUCGUUGUUUAAAAUUAGCAAUGUCUAUACUGAGAAACAAGUGAAAAUGAAAUUUAAAAUCAUCCGUGCAUUUAUUUAAGUUACUUACGUGGCUAGUUAAGCCCUUUCUGUCCCAGGCCCUAACUUGUGGAAUUUGAUUAUUAGUCUCUUUCUUCUCCAUGGCAUUCUUUCCUUGAUGUUUCCCUUCAACAACCUGAUGUCAGCAAGAAAGUAUAUGAUACAUUAAACUUUUCUGGAGUUGUGACCUCUGAAUCCAUCUGGGAGGCCGAAGCACUCCUGGGAACUAUCAACCAUGCCCAAGGAGAGACAUAACCCAACUAUCACCUGCUCAAGAAAAAUUCUGUAUUUUCUAGGAGCAGUUUCAGGACUUUUAUUCCAUCUUGUUUAUAAGUAGGGGAUUGAUUCACUAAGCUUUUCUAUGAAAAAUCAAUUUGAUGUAUAAUACUUUCCACAUAUUGCAUUCUAAUAUUUUUAGAGGAAAGC